rnacentral:rRNA from 1 species
AGCAGCCGCGGUAAUUCCAGCUCCAAUAGCGUAUAUUAAAGUUGUUGCAGUUAAAAAGCUCGUAGUUGAAUUUCGGGAUCAAAGGAUCGGUCAUGCCUUGGUAUGUACUGGUUUUAUUGGUUCUCACCUUCUAAAGAACCAUAAUGUCAUUCAUUUGAUGUUAUGGGGAAUUAGGACUGUUACCUUGAAAAAAUUAGAGUGUUUAAAGCAGGCUUACGCUUGAAUACAUUAGCAUGGAAUAAUGAAAUAGGACAUCAGAUUCUAUUUUGUUGGUUUCUAGGAUCGAUGUAAUGAUUAAUAGGGAUAGUUGGGGGCAUUAGUAUUCAAUUGUCAGAGGUGAAAUUCUUGGAUUUAUUGAAGACUAACUACUGCGAAAGCAUUUGCCAAGGAUGUUUUCAUUAAUCAAGAACGAAAGUUAGGGGAUCGAAGACGAUCAGAUACCGUCGUAGUCUUAACCAUAAACUAUGCCGACUAGGGAUCGGAUGAUGUUAAUUUAAUGACUCA